GAGCACCUUCAAGUGAUUAACCAAAUCUACCGAUUUAGUUACCUCUAAAAUAGAAUUUACAAAAAAGGAAUAGAAUAGUCGAACAAACUCUUUAAAUUCAGGAAUCUAUAUGACGAGUAAAGCAGGCAAGAUAGAGAGCGAAGGUGUAGGAAUAGAUAGCUACUAGAUUUAAAGAGCUAUUUACCAAAUCUAUUGUAAACUUUUUUCCUUAACAAUAGUCAAACUUACCUUUACAAAACGAUCUGUCUAGUUUAUUGGGGUUGCUCUUUGAAUUGAGAGAGUAAAGUGUCUGAUUUUAAAAUUAGAAGAUAGAAAUUUGACAUUGACCAUAGUUUAAGAAAUUAGAAUGGUUUUUUAUUUAUCACUGUGCUCUCCUUUACCCUUUGCUGCAAUGGGAGAAAUUUCUCCUGCAAUGGAGUCGACGAGAACGGCGCCUUUUCCUCUCGUCGACAGCUACUUGGCACCCGGUUACGUCGUCCUUGACCUCUGCGAGAUGAACAACUAGGCCAUUAAGCUCGGUGCGGGCCUGUUUCAGGAGUGUGGUACCAUCUAGGCGACCAGUGCUGGGAAGCUGCGGCUGUUGAAACGAACAAGUAUUGGAUUGAGAACUCCCAUAAGAGGAACUUUUUGGUAGACAUAAAGGGUCCUAAUUUGCCCUUCCUACCGGUGCUUGCAUUUGAAGGUGGUACAAGGAGAAACAUACCAAAGUUUGAGAUUGGUACAUUAAUAUAUGCUCGAGUGGUGAAAGCAAAUAGUAUCAUGAAUCCCGGGCUUUCAUGCAGAGAUGCUACUGGGAAAGCUGCUGAAUUUGGUCAGCUGAAAGAUGGUUAUAUGUUUGACACAUCAACUGGCAUGUCAAGAAUGUUGUUAAGUACGCCAACAUGUCCAGUUCUGGAGGCCCUUGGGAAAAAAAACUGUCGUUUGAGAUUGCUGUUGGAAUCAAUGGUCGAGUCUGGGUGAAUGCUCCUGCGGCAAGUACUGUCAUUCUUGUAUCAAAUGCAAUUAUGAGGUCAGAAUCUUUGAGUGGCAUAAAACAAAGAGCUAUGGUAGAAAAUCUCUUGGAGAGAUAGUCAUGAUGGUUUCAUUUCUCACUGGAUCAGUGGUAAGGCUGUGCGCAACGGAUGCCGCAGGACGCCCUCUCCCCUUCGCCUGUAGCUGCAUGGCGGCUACAGGGCAGCCGCUAGUGCUGCAGCGGCUCUCCCUAGCGAGCACUCUACGCGGAGGUAAGGUAAUGUGUGCUUAUCAAUGAAUGUAUUUUGGAAAAUUGCUUGGUUAGAUGCCACAGCCGAUUCCUGCUAACAGGAAAAAUGGUAAGCCCUACCAUCUCAACAGGGCACGCCAGAUGGAUCAAGGAUGUCGCACAUAAACUAGAUAUGACAAAAGGAUGCUGGUGUUUUGUCCCCCCGAUUUUGUAGACUAAAACGAUAGAUUGGAUAGUUUUGCAAUGCAAUUUCUGGCAAAUGCUGCAUUGUUUGUUGCCUAUCUUAAGGCGAUGGGCAAUGGCGAGCAAAUCAUGCAUAUGACCAUAUAAAACAUUGUAUUCCGUUAUAGACUGUAUUAUUUACAGAGUGAAGUUUGAAACGAGAGAGAAAGAUAAAUAAGCUCCAUCACAAGGUCUCUUACC